rnacentral:rRNA from 1 species
CCUACGGGCGGCUGCAGUGGGGAAUAUUGGACAAUGGGGGCAACCCUGAUCCAGCCAUGCCGCGUGUGUGGAGAAGGCCCUCGGGUUGUAAAGCACUUUCAGUGAGGAAGAACGCCUGGUGGUUAAUACCCAUCAGGAAAGACAUCACUCACAGAAGAAGCACCGGCUAACUCCGUGCCAGCAGCCGCGGUAAUACGGAGGGUGCGAGCGUUAAUCGGAAUUACUGGGCGUAAAGCGCGCGUAGGUGGCUUGAUAAGCCGGUUGUGAAAGCCCCGGGCUCAACCUGGGAACGGCAUCCGGAACUGUCAAGCUAGAGUGCAGGAGAGGAAGGUAGAAUUCCCGGUGUAGCGGUGAAAUGCGUAGAGAUCGGGAGGAAUACCAGUGGCGAAGGCGGCCUUCUGGACUGACACUGACACUGAGGUGCGAAAGCGUGGGUAGCAAACAGGAUUAGAUACCCCAGUAGUC